rnacentral:rRNA from 1 species
AAGAAACCAACAGGGAUUGCCCUAGUAACGGCGAGUGAAGCGGCAACAGCUCAAAUUUGAAAUCUGGCCUUCGGGUCCGAGUUGUAAUUUGUAGAGGAUGCUUUUGGUGCGGUGCCUUCCGAGUUCCCUGGAACGGGACGCCAUAGAGGGUGAGAGCCCCGUCUGGUUGGAUACCAAUCCUCUGUAAAGCUCCUUCGACGAGUCGAGUAGUUUGGGAAUGCUGCUCUAAAUGGGAGGUAUAUGUCUUCUAAAGCUAAAUACCGGCCAGAGACCGAUAGCGCACAAGUAGAGUGAUCGAAAGAUGAAAAGCACUUUGAAAAGAGAGUUAAAAAGUACGUGAAAUUGUUGAAAGGGAAGCGCUUGUGACCAGACUUGGGCUUGGUUGAUCAUCCUGGGUUCUCCCUGGUGCACUCUUCCAGUCCAGGCCAGCAUCAGUUUGCUUCGGGGGAUAAAGGCUUCGGGAAUGUGGCUCCUUCGGGAGUGUUAUAGCCCGUUGUGUAAUACCCUGAGGCAGACUGAGGUUCGCGCUCUGCAAGGAUGCUGGCGUAAUGGUCAUCAGCGACCCGUCUUGAAACACGGACCAAGGAGUCGUCUUCGUAUGCGAGUGUUCGGGUGUUAAACCCCUACGCGUAAUGAAAGUGAACGCAGGUGAGAGCUUCGGCGCAUCAUCGACCGAUCCUGAUGUUCUCGGAUGGAUUUGAGUAAGAGCAUACGGGGCCGGACCCGAAAGAAGGUGAACUAUGCCUGUAUAGGGUGAAGCCAGAGGAAACUCUGGUGGAGGCUCGCAGCGGUUCUGACGUGCAAAUCGAUCGUCAAAUAUGGGCAUGGGGGCGAAAGACUAAUCGAACCUUCUAGUAGCUGGUUUCCGCCGAAGUUUCCCUCAGGA